GUGCUUGCUUUGGCAGCACAUAUACCAAAAUUGGAAUGAUACAGAGAAGAUUAGCAUGGCCCCUGCACAAGGAUGACACACAAAUUUGUGAAGCAAAUUUGA
rnacentral:snRNA from 1 species